AGAGUUUGAUCCUGGCUCAGAACGAACGCUGGCGGCAGGCUUAACACAUGCAAGUUGAACGUGAUUUGCUGGGUGCUUGCACCGAGCAAUGAAAGUAGCGCACUGGUGAGUAACACGUGGGAACGUACCUUUUGGUGGGGAACAACAGUUGGAAACGACUGCUAAUACCGCAUAAGCCCUGAGGGGGAAAGAUUUAUCGCCGAAAGAACGGCCCGCGGAAGAUUAGGUAGUUGGUGGGGUAACGGCCUACCAAGCCGACGAUCUAUAGCUGGUCUGAGAGGACGAUCAGCCACAUUGGAACUGAGACACGGUCCAAACUCCUACGGGAGGCAGCAGUGAGGAAUAUUGGGCAAUGGAGGCAACUCUGACCCAGCCAUGCCGCGUGAGUGAAGAAGGUUUUCGGAUUGUAAAGCUCUUUCGGGUGUGACGAUGAUGACGGUAGCACCUAAAGAAGCCCCGGCUAACUUCGUGCCAGCAGCCGCGGUAAUACGAAGGGGGCAAGCGUUGUUCGGAAUUACUGGGCGUAAAGGGAGUGUAGGCGGUUAUGUAAGAUAGUGGUGAAAUCCCAGAGCUUAACUUUGGAAUUGCCAUUAUGACUAUGUGGCUAGAAUUACAGAGAGGAUAGUGGAAUACCCAGUGUAGAGGUGAAAUUCGUAGAUAUUGGGUAGAACACCAGUGGCGAAGGCGACUAUCUGGCUGUAUAUUGACGCUGAGGCUCGAAAGCAUGGGGAUCAAACAGGAUUAGAUACCCUGGUAGUCCAUGCUGUAAACGAUGAGUGCUUGUUGUCGGUAUUGUAUCGGUGACGAAGUUAACGCGUUAAGCACUCCGCCUGGGGAGUACGGUCGCAAGAUUAAAACUCAAAGGAAUUGACGGGGACCCGCACAAGCGGUGGAGCAUGUGGUUUAAUU
rnacentral:rRNA from 2 species